rnacentral:piRNA from 1 species
UGGGCGUUCUGCCUCCAAGGCACUAGAG